rnacentral:rRNA from 1 species
GUGGGGAAUCUUCCGCAAUGGACGAAAGUCUGACGGAGCGACGCCGCGUGAGUGAAGAAGGCCUUCGGGUCGUAAAGCUCUGUCAUCAGGGACGAACGGCCGGUGGAGUGGAAAGCCACCGGAUUGACGGUACCUGAGAAGGAAGCCACGGCUAACUACGUGCCAGCAGCCGCGGUAAUACGUAGGUGGCAAGCGUUGUCCGGAAUUAUUGGGCGUAAAGCGCGCGCAGGUGGGAUCUUAAGUCCAUUUUGAAAGUUCGGAGCUCAACUCCGUGAUGGGAUGGAAACUGGGAUUCUUGAGUACCGGAGAGGAAAGCGGAAUUCCCCGUGUAGCGGUGAAAUGCGUAGAUAUGGGGAGGAACACCAGUGGCGAAGGCGGCUUUCUGGACGGUGUCUGACACUGAGGCGCGAAAGCCAGGGGAGCGAACGGGAUUAGAAACCCCUGUAGUCC